UACACUGGCCACGAGGCGGACGUUGGCUGAGGCUGAGAAUAACCCCGUCUCCAACGCCUUCCUCACCACCCCAAAUACCCUUACAUCAUGAUGCCAGGGAUGUGGCUGGUGGUUAUGGGCGUAACGUUGGUUAUGGUUGCCAGCCACGCCCUCACCUUCCAGGAGAAAUAUGACAUCUGGAGUCAGGAUCUGAAACCUGACUUCACCAUUCAAACCACACUGAAUGAGGAUGGUAGACGCUGCUACUGUAAAGUUCCCGAUAUUAAUACGACAGUAACUACAAUAGUUCCUACAACAUCAACUACAACUUCAACUACAACAACACCAACUACGGCAACACUUAC